rnacentral:lncRNA from 1 species
AUUACCAGUGAGAUGUGAAUGAAUGUCUAUUCAUCCCAUGCAGGGAAAAGGAACUAAGGCCGAGGGGAGGAUCUACCAACCUUCAGCUUGGUGAGAGUCACAUGCAGGGCAUCAUCGGUGAGGCAUUGCGAACAGUCGCUAAUGUUUUCAUCUAUAAAGAGUUCAGAAUAUGCAUACCUCCUUUUCCUGUGAAAUUCUGAGUGAAUAAUACAGUACAAGUUUCCAUGCUGCUGGGAGUCUCUGAUACAUAGCCGGAGGACUAAUGUCUUAGUGAAAGCUAGCUUGUCACUUUCAAAAGGAAACCUCUUCAAGUCAAAUUCUCAGUGUGACUGGACUACAGAAUACAUUUUAAAUAAACAUUGGGAAAUGAAAACAAAUUGUUACUUUUUCAAUCAUUUAUCUGUCUCCCCCAAUUUUUCUACCAGGUGAAUCCUCACAGAUACAAGUUACUCAUACACAGAUACAUAUUUAUUUAUAAAUAUCUAG